AUGGCAGAGAUCGUGAUUCUUCUAGCCAUUAAAAAGAUCGGAAAUGCCUUGGCAAAUGGAGCGGCAGACCAGGCCAGCACUCAGUUUGCGAAGUACCGCAUGCAACUAAAGGAGUUACAGGGCAACAUGGGUCGUGCUGCGAGAGAGCUUCGUGUAAUGCAUGAUGUUCUUUAUCAAAUGGACAUUCGAAACUGUGAUGAUCAAGUAUAUGAGGGCUGGUUGGAGGAGGUAAGGAAAGUAGCACAUGUGAUGGAGGACAUGGUGGAUGAGUACUUGUAUCUAGUUGGCCGGCAACAGGAUACAAGGUGUUGCUUUUACCUGAAGAAAGGGUUCAGAAAACCAAGAUCUCUGCUUUCUUUGAACCAAAUAGCUUUCAAGGUGAAGGAAAUAGAGAAAGACCUUGCACACCUGUCAGAGACAAAAAAAAAGAUGGGUUCCCAUGAUAAACAACCGGGAUACUAG
rnacentral:rRNA from 1 species